GCCGCCGCCACCGCCCCCCGGGCGUCACCCGCGCCGCGCCCGCCCCCGCCCGGGCACCGCGGGACCGGCCGGGCCGGGCGGGCGGGGAGCGGC